rnacentral:lncRNA from 13 species
CUUUGUCCUUACCAUGGAUAGUGAGUGAACUUCCGUGAGAUCUGACGGUUUAAAAGUGAAUAGCACCUCUCCCUUUGCUUUCUCUCUUAUUCCUGCUCCAGCCAUGUAAAGUGCUUACUCCUCCUUUGCCUUCUGCCAUGAUUGUAAGUUUCCUGAGCCUUUCCAAGAAGCUAAGCAGAUGCCUGCACCAUGCUUCCUGUGCAGCCUGCAGAACUCUGCCUGGAUUGAUCAAGCCAAUGAAGUUUCUUGACAAUGUGUAAUCAUGCCAGGGACACCAUUCAUCUCCAUGAUAGCCACCUGUCAGCAAGUAGAGCACGCACCCUGUAUGGGGACCAGGGCAAAGGUGCAGGAGGAUAAUGCUAAGAGGGUAAGAGUGAGAGGCUUUGAAUCAACUCUGUCCACAAAGAGACAAGGAAAGAAGAAGUAAAGUCUCUUGUCACAGAUUCUAGCUCUGCUAACCAAGAGUGGUCCCAGCCACCCAUCAGGCGCUUGCUAGCAGUCCCUCAAAGACAGAAGCCACAGAAAUUCAACAACUUUCCAUAGACAUCCCCCCGAGGUUCUCUGCACAGUCUACUUUGUUGCUUCUUGGCAAGCUGCAUCCUGCCCACCUGCUCCAGUUCUCCGGGAAACCCAGUUUGUGACUCUCCUCUGAUCAACCAGUUUCCUCUUCUAGACCUUCACUUACCAUCCAGACCUCCCACAGCUGUGGAAAGUCUAAAUCCUAUAAUAAAUCCCUUACUUCACAGUACUCA